UGGGGAAUUUUGGACAAUGGGCGCAAGCCUGAUCCAGCCAUGCCGCGUGCGGGAAGAAGGCCUUCGGGUUGUAAACCGCUUUUGUCAGGGAAGAAAUCUUCUGAGUUAAUACCUCGGGAGGAUGACGGCACCUGAAGAAUAAGCACCGGCUAACUACGUGCCAGCAGCCGCGGUAAUACGUAGGGUGCAAGCGUUAAUCGGAAUUACUGGGCGUAAAGCGUGCGCAGGCGGUUUUGUAAGACAGAGGUGAAAUCCCCGGGCUCAACCUGGGAACUGCCUUUGUGACUGCAAGGCUUGAGUGCGGCAGAGGGGGAUGGAAUUCCGCGUGUAGCAGUGAAAUGCGUAGAUAUGCGGAGGAACACCGAUGGCGAAGGCAAUCCCCUGGGCCUGCACUGACGCUCAUGCACGAAAGCGUGGGGAGCAAACAGGAUUAGAUACCCUGGUAGUCCACGCCCUAAACGAUGUCAACUGGUUGUUGGGAAGGUUCCUUCUCAGUAACGUAGCUAACGCGUGAAGUUGACCGCCUGGGGAGUACGGCCGCAAGGUUGAAACUUAAAUGAAUUGACGGGGUCAUAGCUGUUUCC
rnacentral:rRNA from 1 species